UGGGGAAUAUUGCGCAAUGGACGAAAGUCUGACGCAGCCACGCCGCGUGAGCGAUGAAGGCCCUCGGGUCGUAAAGCUCUGUGGAUGGAGAAGAAUAAAGGCUGUGAAGAGCAGCCCUUGACGGUAUCCAUUUAGCAAGCACCGGCUAACUCCGUGCCAGCAGCCGCGGUAAUACGGAGGGUGCAAACGUUGCUCGGAAUCAUUGGGCGUAAAGCGCGCGUAGGCGGCUUGGUAAGUUGGAUGUGAAAGCCCAGGGCUCAACCUGGAAGUGCAUCCAAAACUACCUGGCUUGAAUUGCGGAGGGGGCCAGAGAAUUCCCGGUGUAGAGGUGAAAUUCGUAGAUAUCGGGAGGAAUACCAGUGGCGAAGGCGCUGGCCUGGACGACAAUUGACGCUGAGGUGCGAAAGCGUGGGGAGCGAACAGG
rnacentral:rRNA from 1 species